rnacentral:rRNA from 1 species
GACGAACGCUGGCGGCGUGCCUAACACAUGCAAGUCGAGCGAUGAAGUUCUUCGGAACGGAUUAGCGGCGGACGGGUGAGUAACACGUGGGUAACCUGCCUUGUAGAGGGGGAUAGCCUUCCGAGAGGAAGAUUAAUACCGCAUAACAUCUUUUUAUCGCAUGGUAGAAAGAUCCAAGGAGUAAUCCGCUACAAGAUGGACCCGCGGCGCAUUAGCUAGUUGGUGGGGUAACGGCUCACCAAGGCGACGAUGCGUAGCCGACCUGAGAGGGUGAUCGGCCACAUUGGAACUGAGACACGGUCCAGACUCCUACGGGAGGCAGCAGUGGGGAAUAUUGCGCAAUGGGGGAAACCCUGACGCAGCAACGCCGCGUGAAUGAAGAAGGCCUUAGGGUUGUAAAGUUCUGUUUACGGGGACGAUAAUGACGGUACCCGUGGAGGAAGCCACGGCUAACUACGUGCCAGCAGCCGCCGUAA